UUCAAUAUCAAUAUUUGUCAAAGUUAAUCUAAUAAAAAAAAACACAGUGACGUCAGUUCCAAAGCGCUAUUGUGUCAGACUCAUCUCCCGCUGAAGAGGAUCCAGCGACAUCAAGAGAUUACGGAAAAUCACGCGAGAUAACUGGCUUGCACCUUGUUGGGUUUUUUCAAGGGCAGAGGGGAGAUUCCUGGCGUGCAUCUACUUAAUUUGAAGAAGAACAUCACCUGUCUGUAAUCCACCUGCGUAAGUACUGGUCAAGGGGCUCAUCGGCUAUCAAGUUAUAGAUUUCAGUGGCUAAUAGAAGACACUGCUGAGGUCAGACGAGAGUGCAUCCUCAAAUGUCUGUGUGUACCUAAAUGAAGAUCCAGAGAAGCUGGUGAGGGAGUACAUGGACGUUGAUGAAUGAAAUGGCCAAAGCCGAGACUGUCCUCGGAAUCGUCAUUUGAGCAGAGGCUGCCGAUGCACAUCUGGAUGUUGGGAUUGUCCUGGAGGAGGUGGAAGUUAUGAACAGCUUGGGCAGUGUAUCUUCUGCAAUAGUGAUGCUGCUGGGACUAAUCUACGCACUAAACUUGAGCUACCCUCAAGUUUAGUGCGUUCAGCACUCAACUUGCUCAGUAACUCAAGCAUACCUUUGAAGUAAUACAGAAAAUAAUAAUGAAAUUGGAUGGAAAGAACUUAUCAAAGAAAGCACAAGUUCUCAAUAUGAAACUCGCUGCUAAGUUGAGUAAAGUUUCAUAUGGAAAAUGAGUGUUUAAAGUCUGCAGUAGAAAAGAUUUAUAUUGUUACAGUUCUCUAAGUUGAGCAACUAUACUGACAUGUUUUAUGUUGUAAAGAAUUGGCUGGGAAAUGAAACUGUAACCUUUUUGUAGUUGUUUUUUUAUUUCAAUGUCCAACUCAGCUGUGUUUUGUGCUGUGUAAAAAAAUGAUGUAUAACAAUUCUGAAAAUACAAUUGUGUUGUACCUUUUCUAAUUGUUGAGUGUUCUUCCUACACUUUCACCUAGUGCUAUCUUAAAAUGCUUGAUUAACGCUUGAAAAUAUGUCUUUGAAUUAACGUCAUGAAAUAAUGGAAAGGAUUUCCACAUGAUUAACUAGCUGUCUUUUAGCAUGAAGCAUAUUUGUUGAGCUAACUUGCUUUUAGUGAGUUGGACCUACUGAAUCAGGUAGUGUGAAGGUACCAC